GUCUGUAAAAGUGCUGUAAAGUUCAACAUGAAGAAUGUGGGAAAGAUUUUGGUCUUUAUAAUGAUCAAUCCUGUACCUUGAUUGUCCGUCUCAGGUGUGUGAAUGUAAUGUGAAACUAUAGGCAAUUUAGGAAGGGUGAAAUGUUGGAUGGCACAUUUUGUUCAGACUAACAAUGCCAUGUGACAAUUAAUUACUGACAACUAUCAGUGACAUGUGAUGUAGAUUAUAAUUGAGCCAGAGCAAUUUCCCACCAUUAAUACAUUGCAUGGCAAUCAAAUAUUGAAGGUGUUUAUAGCUUAUUAUCUCAGAUCCUGUAUAACUAGAUUGGUCAAGUAAUUGUGUUCAUUGUUUGUUAGCUAGAGCUGUGCGACACUCCAGCACUCGGCUUAGGUCAAUUGGCUUGUGAUCUGGGCCAUGUCGCAUAAGGAGUCUGUCACUGGAAGACGCAAGAUGUGAAUUCUCAAGGAGUUUCCAAGAAGGACUGUAUAUGUACAUAUAGAAUCAAAGGGCAGCCAGUAAAGAGAAGUCGAUUUUUGACGAGGCGGCUGUAAAAAGUUCAUCAAUUAAGAGAAA